AUGGUGAGAUGGAUCAGGGUAAAUCAGCUCAACAAGCGGCGUAAAAAGGAAAUAAAGCAGGGAUGGGAUGCGGCCAGUUCUCCCUCAUUGACCACAACGAGAAGUUUGUGUCAAAUUGCAGUGAGGAGCAUGAGGAUGAUAGCAAGAGAGCCAGAGUACUCCCCCUCCAGACAUGACCUCACCAGGGACUACCAGCAAAGUACAAUCAGUCUGGAGGAGCACUUCCAAAGCAUCAGGAAGGGAAUCUGCUCACAGCCUAUUUUCCGUAAAAAUUAUCGAGUGCAUGCCAUCCUAACGACCCUCCUUCCGUUCCAGGUCAACCAGGAAGUUCUGCCGCAAUACUCUGUCAGCUGGAGGAUCUCCUCUCCAUUGACGACUAGCAAGAGGGUCCCCUACCAUUGA
rnacentral:sRNA from 1 species